CAGCCGCCACGGUAAUACGAAGGGGGCUAGCGUUGUUCGGAUUAACUGGGCGUAAAGGGCGCGUAGGCGGGUUUUUAAGUCAGAGGUGAAAUCCCAAGGCUCAACCUUGGAACUGCCUUUGAUACUGGAAGUCUUGAGUCCGGGAGAGGUGAGUGGAACUGCGAGUGUAGAGGUGAAAUUCGUAGAUAUUCGCAAGAACACCAGUGGCGAAGGCGGCUCACUGGCCCGGUACUGACGCUGAGGCGCGAAAGCGUGGGGAGCAAACAGGAUUAGAGACCCCUGUAGUCCCUGUCUCUUAUAC
rnacentral:rRNA from 1 species